AACGAACGCUGGCGGCAUGCCUAACACAUGCAAGUCGAACGAUGCCUUCGGGCAUAGUGGCGCACGGGUGCGUAACGCGUGGGAAUCUGCCUUUCGGUUCGGAAUAACUCAGGGAAACUUGAGCUAAUACCGGAUAACGUCGCAAGACCAAAGAUUUAUCACCGAAAGAUGAGCCCGCGUAGGAUUAGCUAGUUGGUGAGGUAAAGGCUCACCAAGGCGACGAUCCUUAGCUGGUCUGAGAGGAUGAUCAGCCACACUGGGACUGAGACACGGCCCAGACUCCUACGGGAGGCAGCAGUGGGGAAUAUUGGACAAUGGGCGAAAGCCUGAUCCAGCAAUGCCGCGUGAGUGAUGAAGGCCUUAGGGUUGUAAAGCUCUUUUACCCGGGAAGAUAAUGACGGUACCGGGAGAAUAGGCCCCGGCUAACUCCGUG
rnacentral:rRNA from 1 species